UUACUAAGAACAAUUUUCUUGAUAAAGCAAUUAGUUUAAUUUCUGAUCUUCAGUAUUGAGCAUCUUUUCACUAUGAGGAUGAAAUCAGUUGAAAUUUCAAUAUAAAAUACUGUGUUUAAUUAAAUGAAACAGAUAUCACAAUUAGCUUUCCUAACACAACUUUAAGAGUAUUAAACUUCUUAUUUUAUUCAUUUUGGUUUUACAUGCUUCAAUUCUAGUACACUCAAUAUCCAACAUUAAAAUAAGAGACUUGCUAAACACUUAUUUUGGAAAGUAAAUUAAAAGUCACUUUCUAAUUUUUAAUCCACUUCACUCUCUCACAAAAAAAUUAAAAAAAAGUCAAAAAAUAACUUUUAAGCAUCUUCUCAAAACACCCUUUAUUCUCAUGCUAAAGGUAACUCUUCAAAAAAGAAACCAAAAAUUCACACCUUCAAUUACAACACACUAA